rnacentral:rRNA from 1 species
UGGGGAAUAUUGCGCAAUGGGGGAAACCCUGACGCAGCGACGCCGCGUGCGGGAUGAAGGCCUUCGGGUUGUAAACCGCUUUUGAUUGGGAGCAAGCCUUUUGGGUGAGUGUACCUUUCGAAUAAGCGCCGGCUAACUACGUGCCAGCAGCCGCGGUAAUACGUAGGGCGCAAGCGUUAUCCGGAAUUAUUGGGCGUAAAGCGCGCGCAGGUGGUUUAGAAAGUCUGAUGUGAAAGCCCACGGCUCAACCGUGGAGGGUCAUUGGAAACUAAUAAACUUGAGUGCAGGAGAGAAAAGUGGAAUUCCUAGUGUAGCGGUGAAAUGCGUAGAGAUUAGGAGGAACACCGGUGGCGAAAGCGGCUUUUUGGCCUGCAACUGACACUGAGGCGCGAAAGCGUGGGGAGCAAACAGG